ACGGGAGGCAGCAGUGAGGAAUAUUGGUCAAUGGAGGCAACUCUGAACCAGCCAUCUCGCGUGAAGGAAUACGGCCCUAUGGGUCUUAAACUUCUUUUAUAGGGGGAUAAAGUGAGGCAUGUAUGCCUUUUUGUAGGUACCCUAUGAAUAAGCAUCGGCUAACUCCGUGCCAGCAGCCGCGGUAAUACAGAGGAUGCGAGCGUUAUCCGGAUUUAUUGGGUUUAAAGGGUGCGUAGGCGGAUAAUUAAGUCAGCGGUAAAAGCGUGUGGCUCAACCAUACCGAGCCGUUGAAACUGGUUAUCUUGAGUGUAAACGAGGUAGGCGGAAUGUGACGUGUAGCGGUGAAAUGCUUAGAUAUGUCACAGAACCCCGAUUGCGAAGGCAGCUUACCAGCAUACAACUGACGCUGAGGCACGAAAGCGUGGGUAUCAAACAGGAUUAGAUACCCUGGUA
rnacentral:rRNA from 1 species